rnacentral:rRNA from 1 species
UAGGGAAUCUUCGGCAAUGGACGGAAGUCUGACCGAGCAACGCCGCGUGAGUGAAGAAGGUUUUCGGAUCGUAAAGCUCUGUUGUUAGAGAAGAACGUUGGUAGGAGUGGAAAAUCUACCAAGUGACGGUAACUAACCAGAAAGGGACGGCUAACUACGUGCCAGCAGCCGCGGUAAUACGUAGGUCCCGAGCGUUGUCCGGAUUUAUUGGGCGUAAAGCGAGCGCAGGCGGUUCUUUAAGUCUGAAGUUAAAGGCAGUGGCUUAACCAUUGUACGGUUUGGAAACUGGAGGACUUGAGUGCAGAAGGGGAGGGGGGAAUUCCAUGUGUAGCGGUGAAAUGCGUAGAUAUAUGGAGGAACACCGGUGGCGAAAGCGGCUCUCUGGUCUGUAACUGACGCUGAGGCUCGAAAGCGUGGGGAGCAAACAGG